CAGCAUGAUGUUUCCCCUGCCAGUGGCUAAUGGAAAAAACAGACCCACGACCCUAGCGAGCACUCAGUUUGGAGGAUCAGGAUGGUGUCAGACAGCGUGUGCUCAGGGAGUUGAUACUCGUGUCCCUUCUGGACCUGCCACCGGAGAGCAGCCGGCACGGAGAGCAUCUCACGCUUCACAGGCCCUUCUGCCAAAAGGUUUGGAUGAAAGACCGGGAUCAGGUUCCUGGGGAACGGGAGAUCAAAACAGCUCCACAUUUGACCAAGGAAGGCAGAGCUAUGGUGAAGGCCCCCACUACAGUGAGCACAGGGACCUGCCGUCCCACAGCAGCAUCUCUUCAUCACCGUUCCUGGGAGCUGGACUAGUGGGGAAGAGCAGUGAAAGAGCCUCAUACUCCACGUUCGGAAGAGACACAGGGAUGCCAGGACUGAACCAGACCGGUUUCCUGCCCAGCGAAAUGGGAAUGGCGAGUCCCAGCACGCUUUCCCCCACCGGGGUGAAAGGGGGGUCUCAGUAUUUUUCUUACCCCAACAAUCCUCGCCGGAGAGGUGCUGAGAGCAACAUAGAUGGACAACCCAAAAAGGUUCGGAAGGUGCCUCCUGGACUCCCCUCCUCGGUGUAUCCAUCCAACUCAGGUGAUGACUACAGCAGGGAUCCAGCUGGAUAUACCCCCUCCAAACCUCCCAGCACUGUGUAUCCCGGAGCCUUUUAUAUGGCAGACGGGCUCCACAACUCGCCAGACCUGUGGAGUUCUCCGGGUGCCAUGAGCCAGUCGAGUUACGGUGCCAUGCUGGGCAGCUCCUCCUCCCCGCUCCCGCAGUCCGGUGGCUUCAACAGUUUACACCAGCACGAACGCAUGAACUACCAGCUUCAUUCAGGAGAGGUUAACGGUGGGCUCCCCUCGGUGUCCGGCUUCUCCUCCGCCUCCACGCCCUACGGUGUCUCCAGUCACACGCCCCCCAUCAGCGGGACCGACACUAUGAUGGGUAACAGAGGAACCACAGCUGGGAGCUCGGGAGACGCGCUCGGGAAGGCAUUAGCUUCAAUUUAUUCCCCCGAUCACUCUAGCAAUAACUUCUCCUCAAACCCCUCCACACCGGUCGGCUCCCCCCAGGGGCUUGCAGGCACAUCCCAGUGGUCGCGAGCGAGCGGACAGGGUGCCUUAUCUCCCAGCUACGAAGGGAGCCUCCACACUUUACAAAACAAAAUGGAAGACAGGUUGGACGAAGCCAUCCACGUGCUGAGGAAUCACGCCGUGGGCCAGACGGCCGCCAUGCCGAGCAACCACGGGGACAUGCACGGGCUCCUGGGCUCGGCGCCCGCUCACAGUGCCACCGUGGGCAGCCUGGGCCAGGCCUUCCCCGCUGCGGUCAUGUCCCUGGGGAACAGGCACCCGAGUCUGGUGGGAGGAGGUCACCCCGAGGACGGGUUGUCCAGCAACCCCAGCCUGCUCCACAACCACGUCGCGCUGCCGUCACAGCCCAGCUCGCUCCCCGAUCUCAGCCGGCAGCAGGACACCUACAGCGCAGGUUUGUCAGGGGGGCUGGGGCGAAGCAGCGUCUCCUCGGGAACCAGCGAAAUCAAGAGGGAAGAGAAGGAGGACGAAGAGAACACGUCGGUGGCAGAUAACUCGGAAGAGGAGAAGAAGGAGCUGAAACCCUCCCGGAACAGAACAAGUCAAGAUGAGGAUGAGGAGGACGAUCUUCUUCCCCCAGAGCAAAAAGCCGAGAGAGAGAGAGAAAGGAGGGUCGCCAAUAAUGCCCGUGAGCGCCUGCGGGUCCGUGACAUCAACGAGGCCUUUAAAGAGCUCGGACGCAUGUGCCAACUCCACCUAAACAGCGAAAAACCGCAGACCAAACUGCUAAUCCUCCACCAGGCCGUAUCAGUCAUACUGAACCUGGAGCAACAAGUUAGAGUACAGACGAGGCCUUGUCACUGGAGGACAAAGAUCUGAGGGACCGGGAGAGGAGAAUGGCCAAUAACGCCAGGGAGAGGGUGCGCGUGCGGGACAUUAACGAGGCCUUUAAAGAACUGGGACGCAUGUGUCAGAUGCACUUAAAAACGGACAAAGCACAGACCAAACUGAUCAUCCUACAGCAAGCGGUGCAGGUCAUUCUGGGCCUGGAGCAGCAAGUACGAGAGCGCAAUCUCAACCCUAAAGCCGCCUGCUUGAAGCGUCGGGAAGAGGAGAAAGUGUCCGGAGUAGUAGGAGAUCCCCAGAUGACACUUUCAGCUUCACAUCCUGGGCUAGGAGAUGGUCACAACCCUGUUGGACACAUGUAAAGAUCUUUUCGUCCCUCUGGAUAGAGAGAUCUGUAGGAAGAAAACCCUCGGUGUGACCUGCAACCUUCUCGAACCAUAAACUUUAGUACUGCUAAUACUGACACACGUGGACGGAUCCUGGCAUGACGUAAGGGGUGGAAAAAAAAACAAACACUUUUUGUCAAAAAACAAAACGAAAACAAACAAAAAAAUUGCCUUAAGUAUAAAGUGCGGAACAGUCAAUACAUAUCACUCAGUUAGGAGGGGGUGGCGUGUUCUCUUGGCUUGUUCACAAGCAGCCAGCAGCAAAAUUGUGCCUAAGCUUGAUAUUUCUUUUUUUUAAAAAAAAAAAAAAAAGAACAUUAGUUAUGAGAUUUUUUAUGUA